rnacentral:rRNA from 1 species
AACAGGAUUAGAUACCCUGGUAGUCCACGCUGUAAACGAUGUCGAUUUGGAGGUUGUGCCCUUGAGGCGUGGCUUCCGGAGCUAACGCGUUAAAUCGACCGCCUGGGGAGUACGGCCGCAAGGUUAAAACUCAAAUGAAUUGACGGGGGCCCGCACAAGCGGUGGAGCAUGUGGUUUAAUUCGAUGCAACGCGAAGAACCUUACCUACUCUUGACAUCCAGAGAACUUAGCAGAGAUGCUUUGGUGCCUUCGGGAACUCUGAGACAGGUGCUGCAUGGCUGUCGUCAGCUCGUGUUGUGAAAUGUUGGGUUAAGUCCCGCAACGAGCGCAACCCUUAUCCUUUGUUGCCAGCGGUUCGGCCGGGAACUCAAAGGAGACUGCCAGUGAUAAACUGGAGGAAGGUGGGGAUGACGUCAAGUCAUCAUGGCCCUUACGAGUAGGGCUACACACGUGCUACAAUGGCGUAUACAAAGAGAAGCGACCUCGCGAGAGCAAGCGGACCUCAUAAAGUACGUCGUAGUCCGGAUUGGAGUCUGCAACUCGACUCCAUGAAGUCGGAAUCGCUAGUAAUCGUAGAUCAGGAUGCUACGGUGAAUACGUUCCCGGGCCUUGUACACACCGCCCGUCACACCAUGGGAGUGGGUUGCAAAAGAAGUAGGUAGCUUAACCUUCGGGAGGGCGCUUACCACUUUGUGAUUCAUGACUGGGGUGAAGUCGUAACAAGGUAACCGUAGGGAACCUGCGGCUGGAUCACCUCCCUU